AACGAACGCUGGCGGCAUGCCUAACACAUGCAAGUCGAACGAGACCUUCGUGUCUAGUGGCGCACGGGUGCGUAACGCGUGGGAACCUGCCCUUAGGUUCGGAAUAACUCCCCGAAAGGGGUGCUAAUACCGGAUAAUGUCUUCGGACCAAAGAUUUAUCGCCUUUGGAUGGGCCCGCGUUGGAUUAGCUAGUUGGUAGGGUAAAAGCCUACCAAGGCGACGAUCCAUAGCUGGUCUGAGAGGAUGAUCAGCCACACUGGGACUGAGACACGGCCCAGACUCCUACGGGAGGCAGCAGUGGGGAAUAUUGGAAAAUGGGCGAAAGCCUGAUCCAGCAAUGCCGCGUGAGUGAUGAAGGCCUUAGGGUUGUAAAGCUCUUUUACCCGGGAUGAUAAUGACAGUACCGGGAGAAUAAGCUCCGGCUAACUCCGUG
rnacentral:rRNA from 1 species